CGUGCAGGCGGUUCCGUAAGUCGGACGUGAAAGCUCCUGGCUUAACUGGGAGAGGUCGUUCGAUACUGCGGGACUUGAGGUUGGGAGAGGGACGUGGAAUUCCCGGUGUAGUGGUGGAAUGCGUAGAGAUCGGGAGGAACACCAGUGGCGAAGGCGGCGUCCUGGCCCACACCUGACGCUGAGACGCGAAAGCGUGGGUAGCGAAC
rnacentral:rRNA from 1 species